AUCCAGCUGACGAGUCCCAAAAUAGGACGAAACGCGCGUCCUGGAU
rfam:Schistosoma mansoni strain Puerto Rico chromosome 1, complete genome